rfam:Myotis brandtii contig166894, whole genome shotgun sequence.
CAUGCACCGGUGGGGUCCCUUGGCCUGGCCUGCAAUCCAGGACCCCUCAGGGGAUGUCGGAGAGCUGGUUUUGGCCUGAUCCCUGCAGGCCAGGCCGAGGGACCCCACCGGUGCACG